rnacentral:rRNA from 1 species
GUCGAACGAACCCUCGGGUUAGUGGCGGACGGGUGAGUAACGCCCGGUAAUCUGCCCUCCGGAGGGGGAUAACGGUUGGAAACCACCGCUAAUACCCCAUAUGCCGAGAGGUGAAACGAAAUUCGCCUGAGGAUGAGCCCGCGUCUGAUUAGCUAGUUGGUGGGGUAAAGGCCUACCAAGGCAUCGAUCAGUAGCUGGUCUGAGAGGAUGAUCAGCCACACUGGGACUGAGACACGGCCCAGACUCCUACGGGAGGCAGCAGUGGGGAAUUUUCCGCAAUGGGCGCAAGCCUGACGGAGCAACGCCGCGUGAGGGAUGAAGGCCUCUGGGCUGUAAACCUCUUUUCUCAAGGAAGAAGAACUGACGGUACUUGAGGAAUAAGCCACGGCUAAUUCCGUGCCGGCAGCCGCGGUAAUACGGGAGUGGCAAGCGUUAUCCGGAAUUAUUGGGCGUAAAGCGUCCGCAGGCGGCCUUGAAAGUCUGUCGUUAAAGCGUGGAGCUUAACUCCAUUUCGGCGGUGGAAACUACAAGGCUUGAGUGUGGUAGGGGCAGAGGGAAUUCCCGGUGUAGCGGUGAAAUGCGUAGAUAUCGGGAAGAACACCAGUGGCGAAGGCGCUCUGCUGGGCCAUAACUGACGCUCAUGGACGAAAGCUAGGGGAGCGAAAGGGAUUAGAUACCCCUGUAGUCCUAGCCGUAAACGAUGAACACUAGGUGUCGGGGGAAUCGACCCCCUCGGUGUCGUAGCUAACGCGUUAAGUGUUCCGCCUGGGGAGUACGCACGCAAGUGUGAGACUCAAAGGAAUUGACGGGGGCCCGCACAAGCGGUGGAGUAUGUGGUUUAAUUCGAUGCAACGCGAAGAAUCUUACCAGGGUUUGA